rnacentral:rRNA from 1 species
CUACGGGGGGCUGCAGUGAGGAAUAUUGCACAAUGGGGGGAACCCUGAUGCAGCAACGCCGCGUGGAGGAUGACGCGUUUCGGUGUGUAAACUCCUUUUAUAUGUCAAGAAAAUGACGGUAGCAUAUGAAUAAGCACCAGCUAACUCCGUGCCAGCAGCCGCGGUAAUACGGAGGGUGCAAGCGUUACUCGGAAUCACUGGGCGUAAAGGACGCGUAGGCGGGUUGGAAAGUCAGGUGUGAAAUCCUACAGCUUAACUGUAGAACUGCACUUGAAACUUCUAAUCUAGAGUAUGGGAGGGGGAGAUGGAAUUAGUGGUGUAGGGGUAAAAUCCGUAGAUAUCACUAGGAAUACCUAAAGCGAAGGCGAUCUCCUGGAACAUUACUGACGCUAAGGCGUGAAAGCGUGGGGAGCAAACAGGAUUAGAUACCCCCGUAGUC